rnacentral:piRNA from 1 species
UUGAAUCUUCUUUUUGAUUCGGGGACUUAC